UGGGGAAUUUUGGACAAUGGGCGAAAGCCUGAUCCAGCAAUGCCGCGUGUGUGAAGAAGGCCUUCGGGUUGUAAAGCACUUUUGUCCGGAAAGAAAUCCUCUGGGUUAAUACCUCGGGGGGAUGACGGUACCGGAAGAAUAAGCACCGGCUAACUACGUGCCAGCAGCCGCGGUAAUACGUAGGGUGCAAGCGUUAAUCGGAAUUACUGGGCGUAAAGCGUGCGCAGGCGGUUUUGUAUGACGGAUGUGAAAUCCCCGGGCUUAACCUGGGAACUGCAUUCGUGACUGCAAGGCUAGAGUAUGGCAGAGGGGGGUAGAAUUCCACGUGUAGCAGUGAAAUGCGUAGAGAUGUGGAGGAAUACCGAUGGCGAAGGCAGCCCCCUGGGCCAAUACUGACGCUCAUGCACGAAAGCGUGGGGAGCAAACAGGAUUAGAUACCCUGGUAGUCCACGCCCUAAACGAUGUCAACUAGUUGUUGGGGAUUCAUUUCCUUAGUAACGUAGCUAACGCGUGAAGUUGACCGCCUGGGGAGUACGGUCG
rnacentral:rRNA from 1 species